rnacentral:rRNA from 1 species
GGAUGCGAUGAUACCAGCACUAAAGCACCGGAUCCCAUCAAAACUCCGAAGUUAAGCGUGCUUGGGCGAGAGUAGUACUAGGAUGGGUGACCUCCUCGGAUCCCUCGUGUUGCAUUCC